rnacentral:rRNA from 1 species
UACAGAGGGUGCAAGCGUUAAUCGGAAUUACUGGGCGUAAAGCGCGCGUAGGUGGUUCGCUAAGUUGGAUGUGAAAUCCCCGGGCUCAACCUGGGAACUGCAUUCAAAACUGACGAGCUAGAGUAUGGUAGAGGGUGGUGGAAUUUCCUGUGUAGCGGUGAAAUGCGUAGAUAUAGGAAGGAACACCAGUGGCGAAGGCGACCACCUGGACUGAUACUGACACUGAGGAGCGAAAGCGUGGGUAGCGAACAGG